UGCCAUUGUGUAGAGAAAUGUCUCUGGAUCU
rnacentral:piRNA from 1 species